rnacentral:RNase_P_RNA from 14 species
GAGGAAAGUCCGGGCUAGCACACACCUUAUGGGUGUGUAGUGUUUGUGCUAAGGGAAAUCAUAACCUUAGGUAUGUUGUAUAAACAUAACGGCAAACUAGUUAUAGCUAAGGUGUUUCACUACGUUAUAACUUAAAUUAAAGUGCCACAGAGACGAAUCUAUUUAGAAAUAAAUAGAGUGAAACGCGGUAAACCCCUCAAGCUAGCAACCCAAAUUAGGUAGGGGCACAUGAUGUGUAGCAAUACAACAUCAUGCAAGAUUUGAAUCUUGAGAUUAAUAGUCACAAAAGAAGAAAUUCUUUACAGAACGCGGCUUA